CGCCUACACACUUCCGCUUGUUCCAAGGCGAGUGAUUGUUGGGAUGAAAGAACCUCACAAAUGUAGAUCGAAGGAGAAAAAUCGAGCGGUAUACUUUGAGUAUUUAUAAAAUGGUUGAUGAGCUUUGUAACUCUAGUAGAAAUGCUUGGAGAAGAUAGCCUUAGCAGAUGUGAAGAUAUGUUAUCCAUGCCAACAGAUUUUCUUGCAUUCAAUUGUUCCAGAAUGCUUUGUAUGUACUUUAUGUCAACAGGAGUAAAUGCAAAGUCGUCUAGCUGUUCCAUGUUGCGUAUCAAUGACACACUAGGAUGUGCAUUAAAUUCCAAAUCUUGAACAUUAUGAUUGAUUAUAUCAGUAAAAUAGGAAUUGAAAUUCUCAGCUAUACUCUUUGAGUCAGUUAUAACAUGAUCUUUCUCAAGUAGAAAGAUCUUGUUGUGAGCCUUGCUUCUGGUAUUUGGCAAUAAAGGAUUCAUUCGUUUCCAAAA